AUCACUUUCUACUGGGAUAUGCACUCCGGUAAGAUAUGGAAAUUUGCUCAAAGAGAAAACUCCAUUUAUUACUUUUGUCUUAGGUGGUCCUGGUAGUGGAAAAGGUACACAAUGUAUAAAGAUAGCACAGACCUUUGGAUUCACACAUCUGAGUGCAGGGGAUUUGCUAAGGAGGGAAAUACUUUCUAACAGUGAAGAUGGCACCAUGAUUCUGAACACAAUUAAAGAGGGCAAAAUUGUUCCUUCAGAAGUGACAGUCAAACUGAUUAAAAAGGAAAUGGAGUCAAGUGAGAACUAUAAAUUUCUUAUUGAUGGAUUCCCACGAAGUGAGGAGAACCGCAUAGCAUUUGAACGCAUAAUUGGAGCAGAACCAAACGUUGUGCUUUUCUUUGACUGCCCAGAAGAAGAGAUGGUAAAACGAGUGCUAAACCGUAAUGAGGGCCGAGUUGAUGACAACAUAGAUACUAUCAAGAAGCGUCUUAAAGUAUUUUCAUCAUUAAAUCUUCCUGUUAUUGGCUACUAUUCAAAGAGAGGAAAACUGCGUACAAUCAAUGCAGUUGGAACAGUAGAUGAGAUUUUUGAACAAGUUCGCGCUGUUUUUACCGAAUGUGAGGCAAUGAAAUGAAAGAUAGUUUUGAUCAAGGAUGAGCACCACAAAAUUUUUGGUACUUAGUUGGAGUUGCUCAGCAUUUUUGGGCCAGGAUGGUGCAGAUAGUUUGGCAAACCAUGAUUUCCUGAAAGGCUUAAAAUUCUGGGUUAAAGGAUUCGAGGAAUUUUACCUUUACAAGCAUUUCCCAGCCUAGACGGUGAAACUUAUUUUCCAUGUUUAUUGAUUUUGGUGAUGCGGGUAGAUAGCCUAAGGUGCAAUGAAACCUUUAUUACACGUCUGUUUGUAGAAUUUGGAAAGGAAACCAAAAAUGGCAAAAGCAAGAUCUUAUCAGACAAGACAUUAUUAUAUCACUUUAUUUCAUUUUUUGAGAAGGGAAUCCUAUCAAAG
rnacentral:misc_RNA from 1 species